GACGAACGCUGGCGGCGUGCUUAACACAUGCAAGUCGAACGGAAAGGCCCUGCUUUUGUGGGGUGCUCGAGUGGCGAACGGGUGAGUAACACGUGAGUAACCUGCCCUUGACUUUGGGAUAACUUCAGGAAACUGGGGCUAAUACCGGAUAGGAUCUCCUGCUGCAUGGUGGGGGUUGGAAAGUUUCGGCGGUGGGGGCUGGACUCGCGGGUUAUCAGCUUGUUGGUGGGGUAGGGGCUUACCAGGGCUUUGACGGGUAGCCGGCAUUGGAGGGUGACCGGGCACAUUGGGACUGCGAGACGGCCCAGACUGCAACGGGAGGCAGCAGUGGGGAGUAUUGCACAAUGGGCGGAAGCCUGAUGCAGCAACGCCGCGUGCGGGAUGACGGCCUUCGGGUUGUAAACCGCUUUCGCUUGUGACGAAGCGUGAGUGACGGUAAUGGGUAAAGAAGCACCGGCUAACUACGUG
rnacentral:rRNA from 1 species